UGGGGAAUAUUGGACAAUGGGCGCAAGCCUGAUCCAGCCAUGCCGCGUGUGUGAUGAAGGCCUUAGGGUUGUAAAGCACUUUCGCCGGUGAAGAUAAUGACGGUAACCGGAGAAGAAGCCCCGGCUAACUUCGUGCCAGCAGCCGCGGUAAUACGAAGGGGGCUAGCGUUGCUCGGAAUCACUGGGCGUAAAGCGUACGUAGGCGGGUCGUUAAGUCAGGGGUGAAAUCCUGGAGCUCAACUCCAGAACUGCCCUUGAUACUGGCGAUCUUGAGUUCGAGAGAGGUUGGUGGAACUGCGAGUGUAGAGGUGAAAUUCGUAGAUAUUCGCAAGAACACCAGUGGCGAAGGCGGCCAACUGGCUCGAUACUGACGCUGAGGUACGAAAGCGUGGGGAGCAAACA
rnacentral:rRNA from 1 species